AAAACCAUUGUAGUAUAUGAAAGUAAACUGAAUGUUGAAUGAUGAUGUGUAAGAGAGAGAAGAUGAUGUGUAGGUUGUUGUAAUUUUAAACCAAUGUAAAUAGUCUAAUAAA
rnacentral:sRNA from 1 species